AACUUGUCGGCUUCAUUCAAUGGCUCGGCACUCCCAACGCCGGUCCACGAUGCUUUCCAGCU
rnacentral:sRNA from 1 species